UGAAAUUAGAAGAAUUAAUAAGUUUGUAGACUUAAUUAAACUUUGAUUUAAUUAAUUAAAUAAAUUCAGAGACUUAAUUGAAAGUAAUCCAAGGGUAAAAUUAAAAAUUUAUUUGAUUAAGGGACCUAAUUGAUACAUUUCAAAACACCAGGGACCAAACUACAAUUUGUCAUUUUUCAUGCCAAAUGACGUCGUUUUGGGUUGUACUGUUCAUCAUCUGCUGGCUGAAGACCGAUUCAACAUGGGAGAAAAUCCGGCAGAUCAUUCCAGCAAAUCACAGUCGCGACACCACGAUCUCUUGCACACGAUCCCGCUCAUGGAUUGAUUAACAGGGGAACUAGUUUCUUCAUGCUCUCUGGCUCUAUAAAGGCAGAGCAGAGCAGAGGCAAGGGGAGGCAAAAAAAAAAAAACAAAACCCCAAGCGGGAUAGAGGAACGAGCAGGGGAAACCGGAGAAAGGCCUCAGCAACAGGGGGAUUUUGGGGGGGACUGAAAACGAGAGAGAAGGCCACGAACCAGUGGGGAGAACACUGGGGAAACAGAAGAGAAAAUCAACCCAAAAGCAGAGACAAAAACAGAGCAAAUCACAGAAAAGAAACAGAGCAUAAAACAAUUAAUCCUCUGUAAGGAAUUCACCGAACACGUUUUCUAAUCAUCAGAAGGAUCUAGAUUCUAUCGACCUUCCAACAAAAGAGGAAAAGGUGAAAACAAAUUAAAAUUGCAUAAAACAAA
rnacentral:lncRNA from 1 species